ACUGCGAGUGUAGAGGUGAAAUUCGUAGAUAUUCGGAGGAACACCAGUGGCGAAGGCGGCUCACUGGCUCGAUACUGACGCUGAGGUGCGAAAGUGUGGGGAGCAAACAGGAUUAGAUACCCUGGUAGUCCACGCUGUAAACGAUGAUAACUCGCUGUUGGCGAUAUACUGUCAGCGGCCAAGCGAAAGCGUUAAGUUAUCCACCUGGGGAGUACGAUCGCAAGGUUGAAACUCAAAGGAAUUGACGGGGGCCCGCACAAGCGG
rnacentral:rRNA from 1 species